GGACCGCAAGGUGGUCCCGCUGUCCCCGGCGCUGGACCGGCCAGCUCGCUUUCUGCGUCCAGCCCGGACUCCAGGCCGUCCUGGCCACAGCCUUCCAAAACGAAGUACCAGAAAAAGCACCGGACUUGCGGUGUGGGCCACCUCAGAUGGGAUGUACUGAGAUAAAGAAAAAGUCUUAUAAUGGACAUUAAAAGAUUGUCCAGGGCUGGACUGGUAAACAGAUCUUCUGGGGAUGGCCUUCACUCUACCACCAUGAAACAUGGCUCCGCUGAGUUUCAUCCGGACGGGGGUUGUGUCAGUCUGUAGUCACACAGAAGGUUGACCUUGAUCUCACCAGGUAGCCCAAGCCGGCCUUGUACUCAUGAUGAUCCUCCUGCCUCAACCUCUGGAGUGCGGGAACUCAAGACAUUGGAAAAUUUAAAGCAAUCCUUGGAACUAGGAAUAAAGAAUACUCAGAGCAGAGUAUGACCGGCAGAUUAUAAUCAAGGGAGUCAAAUUGUAUUCGGAGACUCUCUGAGAAGACUUAUCUGGACUUCGAGAAACACUGUGAUGUUUGUGUAACCCUGUGGCACACCUGUGGAAAGAGUAUCCUAACUCCACCCACCAGAUACUCCACAUAAAUUGUAACAUCGUCAUUAUGUGACAGCUCUGCUCACACCCAUUUAAUAUUCUUAGGUGAAUGAGUAAUCACAUACCAAGAGCAAUGUUCCUAGAAUUUAAUGGAAGGAAACAUAAGAGAGCAUCAAAUGUAAUGUCAAUAGUCCAACAAAACCCAGUAAUCCUGAUAGCAAGGGUAGAGAGUGCAACAUUCCAGCAAGUGGAAUUCAGUCAAAUACUCAGGCAAAUUCCACAGCAGGUGAUACUUUGAAUAAUAAAAAAAAGAUUCAAGCUUCCAAAAUAUUUGUUAGUUCCUCUCCAUCUCUUACAGCUGAAAAUAAGACAAGGAAAAAACCAACAAAAACAGAGUUUCCUGGGCUUCAAAAGUAUGGACAUGACCUUUUCAUUUUGUUGUUGUUUCUGAUGUCACAUACCCAAAACCUAGGCGUGUAUCUAAUAAAAUAGUUUCCUCAUUCAAUCUUUGAGAAAGAAGGAGCAGAGAAACAGCAGCUCCGUGAAACUCAUCAAAUUCUUACUUCGGGGGGAAUGGAUUGCUUCUGUUAAAAGAAGGACUGCCUCGCCCCCUUGUUCUCAUUCCGUGCGCACAAGUCAAGUAGUCUCCUGACAUCCUCUUGACACUGUCAACCAGGACAGCUGGGCUUGGGUGGACUGCAAGGAGGCUUUUGGAGCUAUGAUUCAGCAUGAAAGACUGCAUGUGACUUAAAAGAAUUGCUACAUCAGUGGGGACUGACUGCUUUUUCUGCUUGCAACACAGCUGUUUCCUUGGUCUUCUUUACUUCCCUCAUGGAUAGAGUUGAGGAUCAGGAACACACAGCACAGUGCAUGCACUAUGCGUGGUAAUUAUGCUGUGUUCUCACUGUGGUCGCUACAAAAACUACCAAAUAGGGUGCUGCUAAUUCCUAUUCUGUGAUGAUGUAUGUGAGGAAAGCCAUUGAUUAUCAUGUGACCCACUUAUUUACCUUUAUGAUUUAAAUACAGAUAUGUUGCGCUUCUUCUUUAAAUAAGCAGGUAUAAAAUCUUAAGUAAUAUAUACAUGGGUAUAUGAAGAUAGGCCUAAUAUUAGAACUAGAAGAAGGCUUUACAUCUAGUAGCCUAUAAUUGAGUUAGAAACAAAGCACUCUAGCAAACCAUCUAGUAAAAUUCCUCUCCAUAUGUGAAGGAAGAAAACAUAGACCUUUUUUCCUUAACAUUUGUGUCACUGGCUCGUAUCAUUCACAAGGACUUGACGUCCAUAUGAAAAAGACAAGACUUACAACACUGGCAUUUUACAGUUGUUGUGAUUUUUCCAAGUGCUUUAUGAUCAUUUUUUUAUUUGCUGGGUCACUCUAUAGUUCUGUGGGGCAGAGAGUAGUAGAUAAAACAGGUAGUACAAAUGAAACCAGAAGGUGAUUCUCCAUGGAAAUUCUGUCUCCAAGAAUGCCUGUAUGGAAGAAGUACUUUCCUACUUUUGCCAGAGGCACCAGGAAAUAGAAGUCAUCUUGUAUAAUUCUCCUGAGCCAUUUUAAAAAGCCAUUUUCUUCAUGAAGCUUAGAUGUAUCUGUUCCCUCUCCCUUUCUCUCUUUCAAAGCAAAGUAAGCAAAGCUGACGUGAGUAGAUACUUCACCUCAGAACAGUUUGUUAUCAUAGAUUUCCCUCACUGAUAUUUUCAAUGCAGAUUACAGCACUGAAUAGUACAUGAGGUGUGGUUUUAAAAAUGCAGGGAAUAUUUAAAUUUCUUUAAAAAGUAUUACAGUAAAAUACACAAUGCCAUUAUUCCCCCUCCAAUAAAGUACUCCCCCUCAAUUUAAACUUACUGAUCCCACUGACCUUGCCACCUUCUGAAGCGCUUCUAGAAGUCUCUUCUAUGAGCAUCUCCAUUUGUGCUGUUGUGGCUGCCUUGAUGUCCUGAAUCAACUCAGAACAUUUAUCUUUCAUGGUCAUUUUGACUAUGGGGAGGAGCCAGUGGUUUCACAGUGUCAGAUCUGGUGAAUAAAGUGGAUAAAGACGCACUGUAAUGUUUUCAUGAACCUGCCUUUCUGUUGGGUGGUGCACCAGCAACAUUCAGUGUAUAUUUUUACCAUACCCCAUUAAAAAAUACCCAUCAAAGAAGACUUCCAGAACUGCCCCAGAAAGUGAUAAGAACAAUGACAUAAGUGUGUUCAGGGGAGCAGGUAUUUCUGUAGGGAGUAAUAGCACGGUGUCUUUCACUGUAAUAAAAUGUUUUAAUGUAAGCAUUCAGUGUGUAUUUUGAUCACCCCAUGUAGCCAUACUUUUCUUUAAGAGUUUUCUGUGCAAGUUGAAAAAGAACAAAAUCGUCUUUAUAGGAAACUAGAGGAGAUAUUGGAUAAUACUAUAGAUAAUGAAAACUAAUGUUAAAAUAAACUUUUUUUUUCUUUUUACUACUGGGGAUUGAACUCAGGGCC